AAUGCCGGAUGCUCCAGUUGACCGCAUGGUCCUCUGGGAAAGCUUUUGCGGUAUGGGAUGGGGUCGCGUCCUAUCAGCUUGAUGGCGGGGUAACGGCCCACCAUGGCUUCGACGGGUAGCCGGCCUGAGAGGGCGACCGGCCACAUUGGGACUGAGAUACGGCCCAGACUCCUACGGGAGGCAGCAGUGGGGAAUAUUGCACAAUGGGCGCAAGCCUGAUGCAGCGACGCCGCGUGCGGGAUGACGGCCUUCGGGUUGUAAACCGCUUUUGACUGGGAGCAAGCCCUUCGGGGUGAGUGUACCUUUCGAAUAAGCACCGGCUAACUACGUGCCAGCAGCCGCGGUAAUACGUAGGGUGCAAGCGUUAUCCGGAAUUAUUGGGCGUAAAGGGCUCGUAGGCGGUUCGUCGCGUCCGGUGUGAAAGUCCAUCGCUUAACGGUGGAUCCGCGCCGGGUACGGGCGGGCUUGAGUGCGGUAGGGGAGACUGGAAUUCCCGGUGUAACGGUGGAAUGUGUAGAUAUCGGAAA
rnacentral:rRNA from 1 species